UACGAAGGGUGCAAGCGUUACUCGGAAUUACUGGGCGUAAAGCGUGCGUAGGCGGUUUGUUAAGUCUGUCGUGAAAGCCCCGGGCUCAACCUGGGAAUGGCGAUGGAAACUGGCGAGCUAGAGUACGGUAGAGGCGAGUGGAAUUCCCGGUGUAGCGGUGAAAUGCGCAGAUAUCGGGAGGAACACCAGUAGCGAAGGCGGCUCGCUGGGCCAUACCUGACGCUGAGACGCGAAAGCGUGGGGAGCAAACAGGG
rnacentral:rRNA from 1 species